rnacentral:rRNA from 1 species
ACUCAAAUGAAUUGACGGGGGCCCGCACAAGCGGUGGAGCAUGUGGUUUAAUUCGACGCAACGCGAAGAACCUUACCUGGGUUUGAACUGCAGAGGACAGCUCCUGAAAGGGAGUCUCCCGCAAGGGUCUCUGUAGAGGUGCUGCAUGGCUGUCGUCAGCUCGUGUCGUGAGAUGUUGGGUUAAGUCCCGUAACGAGCGCAACCCCUAUCCUUAGUUGCCAGCGGGUCAAGCCGGGAACUCUAAGGAAACCGCCGGUGACAAACCGGAGGAAGGUGGGGAUGACGUCAAGUCCUCAUGGCCUUUAUGUCCAGGGCCACACACGUGCUACAAUGGCCGGUACAAAGGGUUGCCAAACUGCAAAGUGGAGCUAAUCCCAAAAAGCCGGUCUCAGUUCGGAUUGGGGGCUGCAACUCGCCCCCAUGAAGGUGGAAUCGCUAGUAAUUGCGGAUCAGAACGCCGCGGUGAAUACGUUCCCGGGCCUUGUACACACCGCCCGU